AUGAACGCUGGCGGCGUGCCUAAUACAUGCAAGUCGAGCGAACGGACGAGAAGCUUGCUUCUCUGAUGUUAGCGGCGGACGGGUGAGUAACACGUGGAUAACCUACCUAUAAGACUGGGAUAACUUCGGGAAACCGGAGCUAAUACCGGAUGAUAUUUUGAACCGCCUGGUUCAAAAGUGAAAGACGGUCUUGCUGUCACUUAUAGAUGGAUCCGCGCUGCAUUAGCUAGUUGGUAAGGUAACGGCUUACCAAGGCAACGAUGCAUAGCCGACCUGAGAGGGUGAUCGGCCACACUGGAACUGAGACACGGUCCAGACUCCUACGGGAGGCAGCAGUAGGGAAUCUUCCGCAAUGGGCGAAAGCCUGACGGAGCAACGCCGCGUGAGUGAUGAAGGUCUUCGGAUCGUAAAACUCUGUUAUUAGGGAAGAACAUAUGUGUAAGUAACUGUGCACAUCUUGACGGUACCUAAUCAGAAAGCCACGGCUAACUACGUG
rnacentral:rRNA from 1 species